UCCCUAAAAGGUGAUGAUGUGUCACUGUUAUGUUUACAGAUUACUGUGUUGCCCCCCAAGUGCUAAAGAAAAAGAACAAUGAAUGCAGGUUUAACCCAGAGUCCCAAUUUUACUUUAAUAUCUUUUUUUUUUAUCAUCUUGUAACAAUAAUUACCAUAAUUGUGAUGUGCUAAAACUUAAACUGCUAAAACUAAAAGUAAUGACCCUUCUUAUAAUUUGGACCAUACACUGUUCAACAUGUGCACACAGCGACAGCACACACUUGUUAAAAAUGUAGUGAUUCACACAGUGUUAUUAGUCAGCCCUCUCCUUUGAUUCACCCCCAUCUGGGUGUGAUACGGCCGGGGCGAGAAUGUGUCACAUGAGGAAUAAGCCACAUAGUGUGACGCUCUAGUGUUGGACUGAACGACUGCGGCGAGGCCGAGGCUUGACCUUCAACCCCCCCUCACAUCACCUGUGUACUGAUAGAUGUCAGGUUUACACCAGGCUGUGUUCUGCUUUUUUAAGGCCUUUACAGGGUUUAACAGCAACCACACAUGCAUUUAAAAGCAUGUGUUCAGUGUGCACGACACACACAAAUUAAAUGUGUCUGGAUAAAAAACCCUCAUCAGGGAGAGAACAUGCUGCCCUGCUGUGGAUCCAUCUGAAGUCAUUCCCUCCAACCCGGCGGGCCUUAAGCGUCUCCCCAGUCUCUGGAAACCCGACCCGGCGGUGUGUUUUUCACUCAAAUCCUACAGCGGUGUUCCCGACCUCAGACAGUGAUCCCAAUCAGGAGGAAUACCCUGAUGCUGCAGUUUGGACCCUCGACGCUGAAACCAAAUAGUAUAAUCGCGUAAUGAGGGAUCCCUCUCCAGGAAACAUACUCCAGUAGGAAAACUGGCCGCUGCUCCUGCUGAUAACUCGCAUGGUUUAUUAUAAAAGCAUCAUUUUAACUGACUCAAAAUGUGAUGAAUCAUGAAUUCCAACAAGUAAACACUGACUGACCAGAGCCCGAUGUGGAUCGUCCUGCGGUUGUGUAAUUAAUAAAACAUUCAGGGGAAGAUAUGAGGUGGACGGGGCAGUGCGCACUUCUGUG